GACGAACCGUGCGAACGUUGUUCGGAAUUACUGGGCGUAAAGCGUGCGCAGGCGGUGAUGUAAGACAGAUGUGAAAUCCCCGGGCUCAACCUGGGAACUGCAUUUGUGACUGCAUCGCUGGAGUACGGCAGAGGGGGAUGGAAUUCCGCGUGUAGCAGUGAAAUGCGUAGAUAUGCGGAGGAACACCGAUGGCGAAGGCAAUCCCCUGGGCCUGUACUGACGCUCAUGCACGAAAGCGUGGGGAGCAAACAGG
rnacentral:rRNA from 1 species